rnacentral:rRNA from 1 species
UUCCAGACUCCUACGGGAGGCAGCAGUGGGGGAUAUUGCACAAUGGGGGGAACCCUGAUGCAGCGACGCCGCGUGGGUGAAGGAGUAUUUCGGUAUGUAAAGCUCUAUCAGCAGGGAAGAAGAUGACGGUACCUGAGUAAGAAGCCCCGGCUAACUACGUGCCAGCAGCCGCGGUAAUACGUAGGGGGCAAGCGUUAUCCGGAUUUACUGGGUGUAAAGGGAGCGUAGACGGCUGCGCAAGUCUGAAGUGAAAGCCCGGGGCUCAACCCCGGGACUGCUUUGGAAACUGUGUAGCUAGAGUGCUGGAGAGGCAAGCGGAAUUCCUAGUGUAGCGGUGAAAUGCGUAGAUAUUAGGAAGAACACCAGUGGCGAAGGCGGCUUGCUGGACAGUAACUGACGUUGAGGCUCGAAAGCGUGGGGAGCAAACAGGAUUAGAUACCCCCGUAC